AUUGAACGCUGGCGGCAUGCCUUACACAUGCAAGUCGAACGGCAGCACGGGAGCAAUCCUGGUGGCGAGUGGCGAACGGGUGAGUAAUAUAUCGGAACGUGCCCAGUCGUGGGGAUAACGUAGCGAAAGCUACGCUAAUACCGCAUACGAUCUAUGGAUGAAAGCGGGGGAUCGCAAGACCUCGCGCGAUUGGAGCGGCCGAUAUCAGAUUAGGUAGUUGGUGAGGUAAAGGCUCACCAAGCCGACGAUCUGUAGCUGGUCUGAGAGGACGACCAGCCACACUGGGACUGAGACACGGCCCAGACUCCUACGGGAGGCAGCAGUGGGGAAUUUUGGACAAUGGGCGCAAGCCUGAUCCAGCAAUGCCGCGUGCAGGAUGAAGGCCUUCGGGUUGUAACUGCUUUGUACGGAACGAACGGUGAGCUCUAAUACAGUUUGCUAAUGACGGUACCGUAAGAAUAAG
rnacentral:rRNA from 1 species